rnacentral:rRNA from 1 species
ACUCCUACGGGAGGCAGCAGUGGGGAAUAUUGCACAAUGGGCGCAAGCCUGAUGCAGCAACGCCGCGUGAGGGACGACGGCCUUCGGGUUGUAAACCUCUUUUAGUAGGGAAGAAGCGAAAGUGACGGUACCUGCAGAAAAAGCACCGGCUAACUACGUGCCAGCAGCCGCGGUAAUACGUAGGGUGCAAGCGUUAUCCGGAAUUAUUGGGCGUAAAGAGCUCGUAGGCGGCCUGUCGCGUCUGCUGUGAAAACUGGGGGCUCAACCCCCAGCCUGCAGUGGGUACGGGCAGACUAGAGUGCGGUAGGGGAGAUUGGAACUCCUGGUGUAGCGGUGGAAUGCGCAGAUAUCAGGAAGAACACCGAUGGCGAAGGCAGAUCUCUGGGCCGUAACUGACGCUGAGGAGCGAAAGCAUGGGGAGCGAACAGGAUUAGAUACCCUGGUAGUCCAUGCCGUAAACGUUGGGAACUAGAUGUAGGGUCCAUUCCACGGAUUCUGUGUCGCAGCUAACGCAUUAAGUUCCCCGCCUGGGGAGUACGGCCGCAAGGCUAAAACUCAAAGGAAUUGACGGGGGCCCGCACAAGCGGCGGAGCAUGCGGAUUAAUUCGAUGCAACGCGAAGAACCUUACCAAGGCUUGACAUAUAGAGGAAAAGGCUGGAAACAGUCUCCCCGCAAGGUCUCUAUACAGGUGGUGCAUGGUUGUCGUCAGCUCGUGUCGUGAGAUGUUGGGUUAAGUCCCGCAACGAGCGCAACCCUCGUUCUAUGUUGCCAGCACGUAAUGGUGGGAACUCAUAGGAGACUGCCGGGGUCAACUCGGA